rnacentral:rRNA from 1 species
AUACGGAGGGUGCAAGCGUUACUCGGAAUCACUGGGCGUAAAGCGCGCGCAGGCGGCUUGAUAAGUUGGAUGUGAAAGCCUACGGCUCAACCGUAGAACUGCAUCCAAAACUGUCAGGCUAGAGUCUGGGAGGGGAAGAUGGAAUUAGUUGUGUAGGGGUAAAAUCCGUAGAGAUAACUAGGAAUACCAAAAGCGAAGGCGAUCUUCUGGAACAGUACUGACGCUGAGGCGCGAAAGCGUGGGGAGCAAACAGGAUUAGAAACCCUAGUAGUCC